AUGAUAGUGUUGGUGUUGUGUGUUAAUUCAAUCGAAGAAGAAGAGAGGAGUUCAAGACUUUAUUUCAUGUGGAUUUGGAAAGCCACGAUUCUAAACCCUGGCCAAACAACGAUGUUUCAUUAUUGUUCUUCAUUUUAUUUUAGUGUUUUUAAUAACCAUGCUUUUUUUUUGGAUGAAUUGAGGUAUAGUGGAAAAAAUAGUUUAUUGGGCCUCUACAAUUUGGACUUAUUCACUUGCUUCUGCAUCACACCAUCAGAUUCCAGUUAG